GAUGAACGCUGGCGGAAUGCUUUACACAUGCAAGUCGAACGGCAGCACGGGUGCUUGCACCUGGUGGCGAGUGGCGAAUGGGUGAGUAACAUAUCGGAACGUGGCCAGUAAUGGGGGAUAACUAACCGAAAGGUUAGCUAAUACCGCAUACUCCCUGAGGGGGAAAGAGGGGGAUCGAAAGACCUCGCGUGAUUGGAGCGGGCGCUAUCUGAUUAGGAUGUUGGUAGGGUAAAGGCACAUCAAGGCGACGAUCAGUAGCUGGUCUGAGAGGAGGAUCAGCCUGACUGGGAAGGAGACACGGCCCAGACUCCUACGGGAGGCAGCAGUGGCGAAUUUUGGGCGAUGGGCGAAAGCCUUAUCCAGCCAUUCCGCGUGAGUGAAGAAAGCCUUCGGGUUGUAAAGCUCUUUCGGCAGGAACGAAACGCUCUAGAAUAAUACCCUGGGGUAAUGACGGUACCUGAAGAAGAAGCACCGGCUAACUACGUGCCAGCAGCCGCCGUAA
rnacentral:rRNA from 1 species